GAUGAACGCUAGCUACAGGCUUAACACAUGCAAGUCGAGGGGAAACGAUAGAGAAAGCUUGCUUUUGAUGGGCGUCGACCGGCGCACGGGUGGGUAACGCGUAUCCAACCUGCCCACCACUCGGGGAUAACCUUGCGAAAGUAAGACUAAUACCCAAUGACGUCUCUAGAAGACAUCACAAAGAGAUUAAAGAUGUAUCGGUGAUGGAUGGGGACGCGUCUGAUUAGCUUGUUUGCGGGGUAACGGACCACCAAGGCGACGAUCAGUAGGGGUUCUGAGAGGAAGGUCCCCCACAUUGGAACUUAGACACGGUCCAAACUCCUACGGGAGGCAGCAGUGAGGAAUAUUGGUCAAUGGGCGAGAGCCUGAACCAGCCAAGUAGCGUGCAGGAUGACGGCCCUAUGGGUUGUAAACUGCUUUUAUAAGGGAAUAAAGUGAGUCUCGUGAGACUUUUUGCAUGUACCUUAUGAAUAAGGACCGGCUAAUUCCGUGCCAGCAGCCGCCGUAA
rnacentral:rRNA from 1 species